rnacentral:rRNA from 1 species
UACGUAGGGGGCUAGCGUUGUCCGGAUUUAUUGGGCGUAAAGAGCGUGUAGGCGGCUAGAUAGGUCCGUUGUGAAAACUCGAGGCUCAACCUCGAGACGUCGAUGGAAACCAUCUGGCUAGAGUCCGGAAGAGGAGAGUGGAAUUCCUGGUGUAGCGGUGAAAUGCGCAGAUAUCAGGAAGACCACCCGUGGCGAAGGCGGCUCUCUGGUACGUGACUGACGCUGAGACGCGAAAGCGUGGGGAGCAAACAGG